UCACCUUAGCAAUAGGGAAAUGUGAUAUCUAUGAACUCCAGCUGCUCAAAUAGACUCUGAAUCUGAAAUCAGGGCGAAAAAUCGAGUUAGAAUGCCUUUCGAACGGUUUAAAACGGGUCUGAUUAAGGUUUAUGGAAAAGUCAACUCGCCGGUCAAAGAUCAAUUAUUUAAUUAAUUAUUUAAUUAAUUAAUUAAUUAAUUAAUCCGGUUUAUCCUAACCGAUUUCCAAUUGAUUUUAACCGACCGGUUUAACCUAACCGAAUUGAAAUCAAUUCCAGUUAACCGAGUCAACCGAGUUGACUCACCGGGUCGAUUCGGCCGAGUUGGCGAGUCUCCGGCGAGUCACCGGUGGCGGUCACCGGCGGCAACGGCGGAGCUCCGGCGGUGGCUUACCGGAAAGUUGGCCGGCGGCGACGGCGGAGCUGCGGUGGAGGACGGUGGUCCGGCUGCGGAGUUGCGGCGGAGGACGGUGGUCCGGCGGCGGCGCGUGUAUCUCACGCGUGAGCCGAUGCGAAUCUUCGGGAGGCGCGUGCGGCUUCGUCCGGGCUUCGUUUGAGGCGUGCUUGGUGUCUACGGCUUCGUCUUGACGAGAGGAACGCGAUGAUGGC
rnacentral:lncRNA from 1 species